ACAACAACAAAAAACAAGUUUAAAAAAUAAUAAUUUUUAGUAUAAUUUUGGCAUACUUCACAAAAAACUCAAAUUUUUGCUGGCCAGAUUAAUAGGUGUGCCCAGCAAAUUAAAAAAAAAAAAUUAAAAAUUCUGAAAUAUUGUAGAAUAUUUAGAAUAUAUUUAGAUAAGUAUGGUUAAUACCCUGUAUAUCCGCUUUUAUUCGCAAUGACUUUGCUGAUUCUUUGGGGCAUAGAGAAUAUUAACUUUCUACACCUUUCCACAGGAUCGGUGCUCCAUUCCUCCUGAGUAUUUUCCAAUAAUUGGGUGUAAUUGAAGCAGGUAGUCUUGGAAAUUUGCCUUUUCAGGUGUCCCCAAAGGUUCUCAAUUGGAUUGAGAUCUGGAGACUGACUUGGCCACUCAUAAACUUCAAUUAUAUUUUCAUGAAACCAAUCCUUAACUACUGGGGAGUCCUAUUUAGGAUGGUUAUCCUGUUGGAAUUUCUAUUUUAGAGGUAUGUUGUCGUGGGCAUGUGGCAGCAUAGCACUACUCAAAAGUUCCUUUUACAGGAAUCUGUCCAUUAUGAAAAUGGUCGAUGGUCCAAUUCAAAACCAUGCUAUGAAAAGCAGUCCCAAACCAUUAUGCCGCCUCCUCCGUGCUUAACCGUCUUUUUUUUUAUAUCUAGGAUCCAAUUCUUUGCCUAUAGGUCUUCGAAUAUUUAUAUUUGAGUCAUUCUCAAAUAAAUUGUAUUUUGGUUUCAUCACUCCAGAGAAUUUUUCUCCAUUUACGCUCCCCCUCUAAACCACACCUGGCCUUGUGAGUUUGAGCAAAAUUAAGCCUCAUCCGAAUAUUUGAUUUACGCAAUAGAGGAACCCUGCGAGCAACUCUCCCAGGUAGAUUCGAGCUUAAUAGCCGUCGACGAAUAGUUCGUGCCGAUACAACAUUGCCCAUUUCGAUGGCAAUCGCUCUCGAAGACUUAAAAGGGUCCCUUUUAGCCAAGGUGACUAUCCGGGAAUCCUCUCUUACGGAAGUUUUCCUCCGGGCACCCGGCUUCCUUUUAUCUUUUUUUGGUGCUAGAGCAUUUGUAACGAAGUUCUCUAAUCGUCCCAUUAGUAAGGCAAUGCAUGUAUAAGUUUUACCCUCUUCACGAAGCUUGAGAACGAGAUUUCUCUCUUCAGCACUGCAGUGAACUCCACGACCCAUCUAAUUUUAUUUAAAUGUUGCAAAUGAAAAUGUUGAUGCUUCAAUCAAAUUAUAUUCAAUAAAAAUACUACCUUUGCUUACUCAAAAACACUUUAAUAUUUUAAUAAUUUUUUGUUUAGUUAAACACACCUAUUAAUGUGUCCAGGUCGAUUUUGAGGUAGAGAAUGUAUAACAGCCAAAACUUUUUAGCGAGUAAAUUUUUUUGGGGGAUUUACCUAUUUCCUUUUUAAAUAGUGUGGACAUACCUACCAAAAAAAAUUUCGUGCUGAUAGAUGUUGUCAAACCGUAAUUAUUCUAAAAUAUGCUAGAAUCUUUGGGUCACACCUAUUAAUUUGACCAUGAGUGUAUGUAUAUAUAUAUAUAUAUAUAUAAUUGUAUUCAUUUGUAUGCCUUGCACACUAACAGAAUUAAUUAAUUUAUAUUUAUUUAAAUUUUAUAAUAUUGUCCGUGUUUUCAUUUGUAAGUCCCUCAUAUCCGUUUUCCUUUACUACGAUGACGUUUAAAUAUUAAAGCCAUAUUAUCUUUUAAAGUAUGGUAAUGAAAAUUUAUUGAAAAUUUAUUCAAAAAUAUCUGACGAGGCGCCUUAUAUAUUCGGUCAAACUAAAAUUAUGAAUUAUGAAUAUUUUUGUUUGAAAAGCUCUGCACUUUGGAAGACAAUCCCAUAAGUUGUAAGCCAGAAUACUCACGCCAUAAUAUGAUCAUUGACAAUACAUUUAAUUUUUAGUUUUAAUACGACAAUAUUUUACAAUAUUCAGUAAGCGAAUUAAUCCGCACUGAAAAUAGACCGGAACAAGCUUCAGUGACAAAACGAAAGCCCAAACAUGAUACUACUCAACAAUGGACCCAAGAGUAUGAGAAUUUCCGCAGCUACUGUAAACUAUGAAUUCUACACAUUAAUCCGAAGUACCCCUAAGUUCUUCAAAGAUAUUCAAAAAUAUUUCAAUCAACUACGAUAGAAUUAUUUGUUACGUCAGCAUCUUCAUCUUGUUGACGACAUGGGGAAUAUUGUUUCCAUCUGAUUUAUACACGAUCCCUUUAAACAAUAACUUUUAAGUCAAUCAACAAUUUUAUAAAAUUGCAAAUCAAUAUAAAACAACAAAUAUUACUUUCUACGUAGAACGGAUUCGGCUCACAAAGUGAGAAUAUAGAAAGUCAUUUAUGGGCAUAUAUGUAUAAGUACAAAACGUAUAACACAAGAGAUGCGAUCUGUUUGACAGGGAAACUUCAUAUGAAACAUUUCCCAUAUGCAAACUAUGGAUAUCUAUACAAACUAUACAACUAUACAUUAUCUACGUCAUAUUUUCAAGCAUAUGGAAAUGCCUAAAACACACUAUGCUUCUUAAAAAAUCUGCACUAAAGGGUAUAAAAAAAAAAUUUUGUUAUAGGGGUAUAUAAAACCAGCGUGAAAGCUAACGAAUGGUUGUGUGAAAACAUAAAAACUUCCCUAUUAUAUUCUCUAUGGUAUAUAAGCACUUAAAGAGUCAUAACAUCAUAUCACAAUUUCAGUACAAAUACUUAGUUAAACCGAAGAAUUUGUAAAAACAUAAUUUGUUUAUUGUUGAAUAUGUCUGCCUAAAAUUUUGUGGUGUGUAAGCUACGAAAAUUGACCAAACCUUCAAAUAUCUGGUGAGCUUUUUACUACACAUACCAAUGUUCCUCAUACAUAUAUGAUACUAUAAAAAUAAUUUCCUUAAUACACUACAUUUUAAAUAUUUUAUUUUUUCUUCAGUUUUGUUUAGCGGUUUGUUCAUUCGUCAUUUUACCUGCAACAUUAGCAAUGAAUGUUAUAUACGCAAAACUAAUGUCACACUAUAUAUAUAAAUAUAAACAUGAUCAACAAAAUUAUUUCCUUAAUGCAUAUUUAAUAUUUAUUUUUUCCGUCAGUUUUGUUUAUCGAUUGGUACAUUCAGUCAUUUCCGCUGAAGCAUUAGCAAUGAAUGUUAUAUAUGAAAAACUAUAUAAAAUCACGCUAUAUAUAAAUAUAAACAUGCUUUUCAGCUUUGUUUUCUUUGUGUUAUAGAUCAAUAAAAUUAACAUUUUGUAUGUCCCAGCACUUCGUAUGCAAUUACCAUUGACAUUGCUUACUGUUGAGUAUGAAUUAUUUAUCUGGGUGACGAAAAUCGUUUUUUACCUGAAGCUUAUGACUGUUAUAUGGCUUAUUCGGAAGACUACGCCAAUUUCUAAUAUUUCACUAACUUUCAACUAUUUAUUUUAAGUUAAUGUUUUGUGCUCUACUCAAAAAAAUUUUAAUUGUAACACACUUAAAAAAAAAAUUAUUAAUCCCCGUUUCCAAUAGUAUUGGCAUAUGUAUUUUAAUUUGAGUAGUCUUUCAUACAAAAACUAAUAUAUAUUGCUAACGAAGAAAUUGAUAUACAUGAUAUACACGUGCUAUAUGUGUUCUCGUCUCUUAAGCUCCACAUAUCUACUGUCUUCUAUUACCCACUUAAAGCUAAUCGCACUGACUUUUCAACAAAUUCUCGUAUGUUCACUUCAAUGUAUUCAUAACUGAAAUACUGAAUAUGUAUCUUUCCACAGCAUUGAAAGCCCCACUUCGAUAUAAUCAUAUCAUACUUAACUGGAUUACUGAAUAAUUAUCUGCAAAAUUAUAUAUAAAUUUUAUUUUAAUUACAUUUGCAAAAAACAUUUCUAUGUAUUUAUAUUUAUUUUUUGGAAUCGCCUUUAAUCAUAUACAUGAUGGAUUUCUGAUAUUCACAUAAAAGAGACAUACAAUUUUAGUCUACAAUUUUAUGGCUAAAAAAAAAAGUAUAACAUAUAUUUUGUAGAAAUGAAAGAAAGUAUAAAAGGCAAGACAACUGAUAGACCAUCAGAUUUUCAAUUAUGGAUUCUAACUUCAUAUCAUUUAUUUAUAAUCAUGGUAUCUACAAAACAAAUACUAUACACGCAUGAUGAAAACGACUGCUUCGGAACAAUUAUAAUCAAAUGCAACGUAAUAUUCGGUAUAUACAUAUGUAAUAUUUAAAUUACAUGGCCAAGGCCAGAAGCCAACAAACAAACACAUCUUAAAAAUAGAAAAAAAUAAAUAACUAAACUAACUUUUUCUUAAAAGAUGAGAACGCAAGAAUUUUCGCUCAGCAAAAUGAGUUUUAGGUUCUUCAAAAGGUCAAACCUUCUGAUAUUAAUCGAAACUAUUAAUUGAAUAUUGGAUUUUAAUAAAAUAUAUACAUAAAAAUUUAAACAAUUUAAUAAUUUUCAGAAUACAUUUCAAUGCUCAUGUCAAAAAUUUGAACACAUAUUGGCCCUUACUAAUAACAAAAACAAAUGUACUCUCGUAUAAAACCCCUUUUGAAUUUUUUAACAGUCAAAUAUAUUGUCGUAACUGUUAGUUUGCUAAACGUUUUGGUUUUUUUUUAAUUGACAUACACCUGUUAAUUCUACUUUUGAAACGAAACGUUAAGAAUUUCCUGAAUAUAUAUCAUGAAUGUAUAAUUUCAUACUAAAAAGGUAAAAAAAAAAAAAAAAAAUUCAACACUUCUCGACAAUCAUUUUAAUUUAUUUUUCUCAAUUUUAUAGACUAAAUAUAUUAUGCAUAUGUAUAUUUUUUCUUCAUUUAAUACUUUAACCAGCCAUUCUAAUAUACUGUUUUUCUAUACUCCUUACCGUACAUAUAUGUAUGGCAGUAUAUAUGUAUGCUGUUGAUGUAAAGAUACUUGCACCUUCCUGUCUCCCUCCUCCCAAGUUGUACAGCUUGUGAGAUGCAUCAGAUUUUCGGCCACCCACCAAAAAAACCUCACCCACCAAACAUAUGAACAAAGAGAUACAAAAUAUUCAAUACAACAACAAUAAAAAACUCAGUCUGGAACUGGACCUGGAACUGGAACU